rnacentral:rRNA from 1 species
AAUGAUACCCCGGUAGUCCACGCCGUAAACGUUGGAUACUAGGUGUGGCGGUUAUACCAAUGACUGCCGUGCCGAAGCUAACGCAUUAAGUAUCCCGCCUGGGGAGUACGGCCGCAAGGCUAAAACUCAAAGGAAUUGACGGGUCCCCGCACAAGCGGCGGAGCAUGCGGCUUAAUUCGAUGCAACCCGAAGAACCUUACCUGGGUUUGACAUCACGGGAAAAGCUGUAGAAAUACAGUGUCCAUUAGGGCCCGUGACAGGUGGUGCAUGGCUGUCGUCAGCUCGUGUCGUGAGAUGUUGGGUUAAGUCCCGCAACGAGCGCAACCCUUGUCCUAUGUUGCCAGCGGUUCGGCCGGGGACUCAUAGGAGACUGCCGGGGAUAACUCGGAGGAAGGUGAGGACGACGUCAAGUCAUCAUGCCCCUUAUAUCCAGGGCUGCACGCAUGCUACAAUGGCCGGUACAACGGGCAGCGACCCCGCGAGGGUGAGCGAAUCCUAAAAAGCCGGUCCUAGUUCGGAUUGAAGUCUGCAACUCGACUUC